UACGGAGGGUGCAAGCGUUGUCCGGAUUUAUUGGGUUUAAAGGGUGCGUAGGCGGACCCAUAAGUCAGUGGUGAAAUCCCGUGGCUCAACCAUGGAAUUGCCAUUGAUACUGUGGGUCUUGAAUAAGGUUGAGGUAGUUGGAAUACGUGGUGUAGCGGUGAAAUGCUCAGAUAUCACGUAGAACACCUAUUGCGAAGGCAGAUUACUGGGCCUUUAUUGACGCUGAGGCACGAAAGUGUGGGGAGCGAACAGG
rnacentral:rRNA from 1 species